ensembl:lncRNA CALML3-AS1 CALML3 antisense RNA 1
CCCCGUCAGCACCGCUUACUGCAGGCCAAGAUGCCUCCCACCCUCCAGAAUCCGACCGCGGAGGGAGCUUCCAGUCCAGGAGCCUGCGGGAAUCCUGGCGGGGGCUGAGGGCUGCAGCCCCCCUGGCCUGGGCAUUGGGUGCCUCUUAGGGAUCUUGCCUGGGUGCCCUAAGGGGUCACCCGGUGUCCGUCCUGGAGGGCCGCAGAGUCAGCGCAACCUGCCCUGGUGCUCGGUCCUAAGGGGCUGGAGAGACUUCUUCAUGAAGGAAUACAGGGACAGUCACAGGAGACAGGAGCACCAAGGGAUUCGGACAUGUGGCUGACACAGUCUUCUGGAGAGCCCCGGAUGGCAUCAGGGGGAAACCUGGCCUGAGACAGUGCCCUGAUGGACAAGGACAGGAAUACGGUCAUACCUCCUGCCCACUUGACCAACGACCAGGAUGAGAAGCCAACAGAUGAUGAAUAUGAAUUAAAGUUGGACAACUAGCAAGUUUAAAACUUGGACUGGGACCUAGAUCUUCCGAUUCCUACAGCUAGCCUCCCUUUCCAUCUUCUCUGUGGUCAUCACUAAUGCAGUUUUUGACCGUCUUGUCCAGAAGCUGCAAAACAGACAACAGAAGCCAGGACUGGCCCUGCCUUAGAUGGCUUUCAGUGCAGGAAAGUAUCAAGACAGUCUUGUUCGUAGCGUAUAUCUCUCUCCACCUUUUCUGCUAAGCACCUCAUGUAUGCAGCUGCCAAUGUAACACCUCCAUUUGCGUGUUUAAUCACCAUCUCAAGCUAAUGUAACCAAGCAGACUUCUUGGCCUUCAUCCCUGCCUCCUCUAGUCUUCUCAUCUCUCUCUCUCUCUCUCUCUUUUUGAGACAGAAUUUGGCUCUGUUGCCCAGGCUGGAGUGCAGUGGCACCAUCUUGGCUCACUGCAAC